rnacentral:lncRNA from 1 species
ACUAUUUAUCUACAUCUGUUAUGUUAUGAUAAGCUUUGGUUUUGAUAUUUGUAUAUAUGUCUGAUUGAUUUUUGUAUGAUAUGUUACACACUGAGUUUCGAAAACUCACUUUUUGUUGUCUGUCAUUUUCAAGUAACCCUUAGACUUAAGGUGGGUCAAAGCGACAAAGCUCCGUUAAAACUUAACUAGUUAAUUAUUCUAUUUGCC